ACUCGACCUCUUGGCCGAAAAUGGAAGGUUGAGCCAUGAUCAAACUCUAAGGGCGAAUUCGUUUAAACCUGCAGGACUAGUCCCUUUAGGUGAGGGUUAAUUACUUAAGUCUGGAAUAACGUUUCGAAAGAGGCGCUAAUACGGGAUAAGACCACGGGAGCUUCGGCUCUUCACGUGCUACAAUGGGUGGUACAGAGCGAAGCAAGACCGCGAGGUGGAGCAAAUCGCACAAAGCCAUCCCCAGUUCGGAUUGGAGUCUGCAACUCGACUCCAUGAAGUUGGAAUCGCUAGUAAUCGGAGAUCAGAACGCUCCGGUGAAUACGUUCUUUAAUACGACUCACUAUAGGGCGAAUUGAAUUUAGCGGCCGCGAAUUCGCCCUUUACCUUGUUACGACUUCGGCUUCUUUACUCGACCUCUUGCCGAAAAUGGAAGGUUGAGCCAUGAUCAAACUCU
rnacentral:rRNA from 1 species